rnacentral:rRNA from 1 species
UACGGAGGGAGCUAGCGUUGUUCGGAAUUACUGGGCGUAAAGCGCGCGUAGGCGGCUUUGUAAGUUAGAGGUGAAAGCCCGGGGCUCAACCCCGGAACUGCCUUUAAAACUGCAUCGCUUGAAUCCGGGAGAGGUGAGUGGAAUUCCGAGUGUAGAGGUGAAAUUCGUAGAUAUUCGGAAGAACACCAGUGGCGAAGGCGGCUCACUGGACUGGUAUUGACGCUGAGGUGCGAAAGCGUGGGGAGCGAACAGG